rnacentral:lncRNA from 1 species
GCAGAUGUUUGCAGCCUUGGCCUCACACCUCCAUAAAGACCAGUGAUUGUAAUUGUUAUGUGGUAACUGUACAAAAUGAAACAAAGCUUCACCACAAAAAUAGCUGGAGAAACUGUUAAAGUAUAGCAACAUAACUUGUAUCUUCCUUGUUUCUUAUUCUCUGGGGGAACCUGUGCUAAAAAUAGGAUGUGCUAAAUAGAAAUUACCCCUUUUCCUGUAUAAGCAGCUGCUCCCUAAGCUUCAGGGAGCCCAGGUUCUCUCUGUUCAGUGCUCCCAGCCACUCUCUUGGUCCAUAAACCUGCUUGAGAUCUCAUUGCUCCAGCGUCUGCCUCCUUCUUCCCAGCCGUUUCUAACAGUAUUCAGGAAAAAUGACCUAAUACUUCAAGUGCCCGAUUAUCUGUUGUUUCACUACUGUGUAUAAAUAAAGGAAUAAAGGGAGAAAACGAGGAGAUUCUAGGUUGGUAAAUUUCUUUGACCCCAUUCUCAUAACUGUUGGGAUAUUUACCGUGUGAGAGGAUAAAAUUAAGCUCAAAGAUGUAUCACUAAAACCUUUUUUUUUUUUUUUAAACUAUCAAUCCAAAGAUUUAUCCAUAGCUUUUCUGGAUUUGCUUUAAAAAAACAAAACAAAACUGACAGAUACAUCCCCCUGUAAAAAACUCCCGCAGUCUCUCAGUGUAACUUCCCGGAGCUCUCUCAGGUUCUGCCCCACGUUACAGUGGUGGAUUUGUCCGGGAUAAUUCUGUAGGUCUGAAAUGCUGCAGGAAGUUACUCCAUGUUAGGUUCAUUUACAGAGUUGCUUUUUCUCCUUAGAAGAGUAUUUAAAAAUUUAAUGAAUAUUGCAUGGUACGAAACGUAUUACUUGGAAAUGAAAAAGUCACAGUAAAAUUUCAAACAUGCUGUGACUUCUGAUUCCAUGCAGAUGUUUGUUAUACCUGUGAGUUCCGUAAUCUAGGGGAUUUUAACCCCAAUCUCACAGUCUGGUAGUUUCUUUCUCUCUCUCUCUUUUUUUUGGGGUCUUUUUAAGGCCACCCACAGCAUAUGAAAGUUCCCAGGCUAGGGGUCCAAUCGGAGCUGUAGCUACCAGCCUACGCCAGAGCCACAGCCACGCAGGAUCCAUGCCGUGUUUGCGACGUACACCACAGCUCACGGCAACGCUGGAUCCUUAACCCACUGAGCAAGGCCAGGGAUCGAACCCGCAACCUCAUGGUUCCUUGUCGGAUGCGUUAACCUCUGUGCCACGACGGGAACUCCAGUGCCCUUGUUUUGACUCUGCCAUUGACUGUUCGUCCUGGCUUAAAUUCCCUUGUUAUUCUCUGGAUGCAGAGUGUGUCUAAUGUAGCAGAUACAUAGAAUUAUAGAAGACCUCACAGCAACGUUCCUUUUUUUUUUUUUUUUUUUGUCUUUUUGCUAUUUCUUGGGCCGCUCCAGCGGCAUAUGGAGAUUCCCAGGCUAUGGGUCCAAUCGGAGCUGUAGCUGCCAGCCUACGCCAGAGCCACAGCAACGCGGGAUCCGAGCCCCAUCUGCAACCUACACCACAGCUCACGGCAACGCCGGAUCGUUAACCCACCACGCAAGGCCAGGGAUCAAACCCGCAACCUCAUGGUUCCUCGUCGGAUUCAUUAACCACUGCGCCACGACGGGAACUCCGCAACGUUCCUUUUUAGCGAGUUAGAAAUAAGAAUUGGUUUUCACAUAAUCUGGACCGCUUUGUUAGUUAUGGAAGGUAUGCUGCCAUAAGCCUAGCUUUUGCAUUUUUGUUUUCCUGUUUGCUGAUCUAAAAAAAUAGUCAGGGUCAUUCUCAUAACAAAGAAAUAGUCAACAAAUGAAGAUAAUAAGCAUGCUCUCCACAGGCAGUGGUGUAGAGACACCUCCCUUCUCCUGCUGCCUCUGCCGUCCCUGAGCCAGGAAGAGCCUCGGGCCCGCCAGCUGAGCCAGCUGAUGUUCGGUGCAGCCUCGGCUCUUCCCUGUGGUUUCAGCCCUCUCUCCUCUUGCCGGCAGCCCGUUCUUAGAGGUGACGGAGGAAGCACAAGGUGAUCCUUACGCUGGUCCCUUAGAGAUAGGGUCACGCCCUACCUGUGAUCUCAGGUACAGUCGUGGCAGGAACAGCAGUGCGUCUCAGAUGCCCUAAUGAGCUUUCUCAUUAACCUGAAAAAAACGGCCUUGGAGAGAAUUUCGAAAGUGAUUCCUGCCAGGAAAGCCUUCCACCGAUGGCUUUUCCAGCCGUGUGUUUCAGUGUCCCUGCUCCAGUGUUCUCUCCGGUGUGUGGAAUCACCCUCUUCCACAGUAAUCGGGUCCACGUAGAGCUGAUAGAAACCCCUGAGAAAAUCGUAACUGUGGAUUUUAAAACAUAUGAAUUGCUGUAUCUACUGCGUGAAUUGAUUGCCUACUUUUUUUUUUUUUUUGUCUUUUUGCCAUUUCUUGGGCCGCUCCCGUGGCAUAUGGAGAUUCCCAGGCUGGGGGUUUAAUCGGAGCCGUAGCCACCAGCCUAUGCCAGAACCACAGCCACGCAGGAUCCGAGCCGCGUCUGCAACCUACACCACGGCUCAUGGCCACGCCGGAUCAACCCACCGAGCAAGGCCAGGGAUCGAACCCGCAACCUCAUGGUUCCUAGUCGGAUUCGUUAACCACUGCGCCACGACAGGAACUCCUGAUUGCCUACUUUUUAUGGACCCUAGAAACAGGUACACCCAGUUAUUUGGUGCAGUUUCUUUUUACCAUUCUAAAGGAGCCAUUCGGCCAUACUGUUAACAUCUGACGCCUGAAAGAGACGUUCCCCUCCUUUGAAUAACAUCUUCUUUCUAGACGUAGCUAUUAGGAGAAAGCGCUCUGGUAUCUUAGGAAAAAAUAUCAGAUUAAGACGCCUUGACCCUGUUCUUCUAAUUUCCUUGCAUGCUGAGCCUUCGGAGAAGAUGGGGGGUAGAUUGGAAUUGGGGAUUGGGAGAGAUGGUUUAAUAAACCUUGUGAGAGACAGGUAAAGAAAUUUUAAUAUGAGAAAUCAGAGAGCACAGGUGUAUGUUGGUGCCAGUUUGUAUUUGCGUCGUUGUCUCCUGACCUGCUCACAGUCAGUCUUUAGGAAUGGGCAGAGCUCCCACCGUGGUGCCACAAAGAGGUGGCAGGUGCGCUGCAAGGUCCUGGCGGCUCCAAGUUUAAAAUUUGUUUGAAUCCUCUUAUUUGCAGGUUUUGUCCAAAGUCAGUAUUUAUGAGUGUCUCUAAUGCUUUUUUUUCCCAUCAUAAUUACGUAGUGGGAGGAAGCUGUAACGGGCUUUUCUCUAAGUCCCAUACAGACGCUCCCAGGUGCCCCCAGCUCAUCGCAGCAGGCCCUGCAUACGUGGUUUUCUCUGUCUGACCUGAGGGCAAAGCACUGGCACAGAGUUGCAGGUGUCGAUGGACUCGAGGUCAAGGGACUGAGAACCAUUUCUCAGCGUCUGGGACUGGGGUCCCCCUCUUUCCGCAUCAUUGACAGCAGCACCCCAGUCCUGGGUUCCUUCUGUGUGUUGGCACCUUGGGCUCCCUUUGGUUGGUUUGUGUGUGAAGCAAAAUGUUUCUGGCAGUCGUAACUUUCUGUGAGUCCUCCCUUUCCCAUUUGCAUUGAUUUAAGCCCAAUCUGUAUGCAGACGAAACAGCAUUAAAUGUCUGAAGGUUUUUACUCAGUAUUUCCCAGCCUGUGAACUCUUUGAAUGCGGUCAGGUCUGUUGGAGUAAACUGGCAGUGAGGUGGCCACAGGUUUGUGUUGACUGCUUUGCGUUUUCCUGGAAACAGUUUCUGUUGUGAGGUAAUAAAAUACAGGCUUCUCAAGGUUUCCUAGAACCUAUGGUUCCGUUCUCCUAGUCGUGCCUCAUCUGCUCUUAUUUUUCGGAUGUGUUAAUUUUAGACAAGGAAGCAAAACUCCUGCUUAGAUUUUUUUCAAUUUGUGGACUUAGGUAGAACUCAUUGCAUGAUGUAGAAAGAUUGGUGUCGGGGAUUGAUGGUGAGUGGGUGACACUCAGGUGUGCUGGGUGACUGCUGAGGUAGCCUGCUGACCGGCAGGGACCUCCUCUAGGCUCUGAAGGCACAGCUGUCUCAGAUGAAGUGAGUCCUUCCACUGUGAACCAGUUAUUACCCCCAGUAAGAAUUUGGUGGGGUUUUUUGUUGUUUUUUGGGUUUUUUUUUUUUUUUUUUUUUUUUUUUGUCUUUUUAGGGCUGCACCUGUGGCAUAUGGCAGUUCCCAGGCUAUGGGUCAAGCCGGCCUACACCACAGCAAUGCCAGAUCCCAGCCGACUCUGUGACCUACACCACAGCUCACAGCAACACUGGAUCCGGAACCCGUUGAGCGAGGCCAGGGGUCGCACCCGAAUCCUCAUGGCUGCUAGCCAGAUUCUUAACCCGCUGAGUCACCAUGGGAACUCCUGGUGGGGUUUUUGAUGUUGGGUUUCUACUUUUGGGUUUUGUCGUUGUUUGGAGACACCGCCUAAAGGACUAUGCAGAAAUGAGCAAAGCUUAAAUUCUUCUUGGACUAAGCGAACCUGAUGGGCCAGUUUACUGUUUGAAGCUUCCUGAUACUUGGUUUCUAAAGCGAUGGUUUUAUCCCUUACCCUUUGUGUGUUACUUAAAGAUGCUAAACCAGGAAUGCUUCAGGUGGCGGGGUACGCAUCUCUCUGCGGGGUUCCUAGAUGAUGCUUACCUUAUUUUAGAUUUGCGAGAUAGAGGAAUGAGUUGACUUACACCGCGUGUUCCAGCGCGGCUGGCGCUGGUGCGGUUCCAGCAGGGCUCUGUGCAGCCCCUGUGAGGCGCCUGCUGGCUCCGUGAGGUUGCCUGGGGCCCAAGUGCUGACCGUGAACCGGGUCUUGGAGGGGAAUGCUGUUUAAAGAAAGACAGCCCUUCUGUUUAGUUACAGUCUUAAACAUUGUGGCGUGUUUGGAAAUGGGGACGCAGGAUUUAAGUGGAAGGGUUUUAGCUGUUUGUGAAUUUCUUCCGUCUUUACUGCCUCAGGGAGGACUUGAGAGCCCUCUGGGUCCCGGCCUCUUCCCCCGGGUCCUAGUUCACUCCCCUGACUUUCCUUCCUGUGUCCCUCUCCUUAUCUGUUGGGCGGGGCAUGACCUGCGGAAAGGCUGUUGUGAGGAUUAGAGGAGAUCUGGUCUGCAGGGUCCCGGCAACACCUGUGUUCUCUCUUUGUAUGUUUGGUUUAUUUCUUCCACACAAACAGCUUUGAUCCUAUCAGCAUCACAUUAAAAUCCCGAAUAUGCCUUUGUUCUUUUACAGGAAAGGGUUCAAAAGAGAUUUCUUGGGUCGUGUCCACUCUUCAGUAUAAUCGAAACUCAGUCCUCAUACAAUGAUUAUUUCUAGUUUAUAAAGAUAUUGUGAGUAAUAAAUAGGAAAACUUGUUUCAUUGUUAGACCUAACAGAGGAGAUUUGACUGGGUUUUUCGGUCUUGUUUUUCAAAAAACAACACUUGACACCAGAUGGCACGUGUUCAGCAUUCCUGUGUGGUUUAGAAACACGUGUUUUAUUUUCCCCGUGCGUCUCUUCCUUUCUCUGCUAAGAAGGCGAUGUGUGACUUCAUGAACAGAACUAAAAUUUGGUUCUUCCGUUUCCAUGUAUCCUUUUUCUUCGGCACUUUGAAAUAAUCCCUCGUGAAUUAAAAGCCUCAGAAUUGUCAGCUGUCUUGAGAGUCUGCUGCUAAGACUUUCAAAAUUGCCACCACUUUGACUUGCACAACCCAUCUGACAUCAGUUUUCAUGAGGGGAAUAAGCCCGUUCCCUUGCAUCGAGAGCUUAGUUGUGCAGAGGUGUCUCUGCCCUGUCUUCUCUGGUGAUGCCAGAGCAGAUUUUCUCAAAAUCAAUCUUACAUAAUUUCUCCCCCGAAGCCUCCAGCAUUGACCCAUGGCCGAUGGAACAACAUCAGCGCUCCUUUGCAUGAGCACAGAAAACACUUCAGGCUGCUCUGGACCCGACUUUUCAGCGUUGGUACCCACCCUUUCUCCCUUCUCUUAAUCCAGCCCGAGUAGAUCUGCACACACGCCGUUGGUUUUGCUUAGCCUGUUCUUUCUUUGCUGGCAAGCCCCAGCUAAUGCUUCCAAACCCAUUUCACUUAACUGUCUUCUUCAUAAUCAUCUCUGCACUCUUGGAGGCGACAGCAGACCCUCCCCUGCCCCUACUGUCCUUCCUGCCUAGGCUGGCAGUCACAUCUCCCCAGGCCAGGGCCAUGGCUCAUUCUGUCCCUGGCUCUGGGCACAGAACCAGAGCUAAGUAACUGCUCAAAAAAAAAAAAGGCCUUUUCAGCCUGGUUUUCAAAAAGAGCAAUCUAUAUGUGUGCAACAGGUUAAGGAAUAGCGCAGGAGUGUCUGUUGCGGCUCAGCAGGUUGAGGACCUGGUGUUGUCUCUGUGAGGACGCAGGUUUAAUCCCUGGCCUUGUUCAGUGGGUUAAGGAUCCGGCAUUGCCGCAAGCAGCGGCGAAGGUCACAGAUGCUGCUCGGAUCAGGUGUCGCCAUGGCUGUGGCAUAGGCCCCAGCUGCAGCCCUGAUUCAUCCCCCAGCGCGAGAACGUCCAUAUGCCACAAGAGUGGCCAUAAAAAGAAGAAAAAAGAAAGAAAAAAA